AUUGAACGCUGGCGGCAUGCCUUACACAUGCGAGUCGAACGGCAGCACGGACUUCGGUCUGGUGGCGAGUGGCGAACGGGUGAGUAAUGUAUCGGAACGUACCAUUGAGUGGGGGAUAACGUAGCGAAAGUUACGCUAAUACCGCAUAUACCCCGAGGGGGAAAGCAGGGGAUCUUAGGACCUUGUGCUCUUUGAGCGGCCGAUAUCAGAUUAGCUAGUUGGUGAGGUAAAGGCUCACCAAGGCGACGAUCUGUAGCGGGUCUGAGAGGAUGAUCCGCCACACUGGGACUGAGACACGGCCCAGACUCCUACGGGAGGCAGCAGUGGGGAAUUUUGGACAAUGGGGGCAACCCUGAUCCAGCCAUGCCGCGUGAGUGAAGAAGGCCUUCGGGUUGUAAAGCUCUUUCAGCCGGGAAGAAAUCGUGGUGGCUAAUAUCCAUCAUGGAUGACGGUACCGGAAUAAGAAGCACCGGCUAACUACGUGCCAGCCGCCGCAGUAA
rnacentral:rRNA from 1 species